rnacentral:rRNA from 1 species
AUGAACGCUGGCGGCGUGCCUAAUACCUGCCCGUCGAGCGCACGGACGAGAAGCUUGCUUCUCUGAUGUUAGCGGCGGGCGGGUGAGUAACACGUGGAUAACCUACCUAUAAGACUGGGAUAACUUCGGGAAACCGGAGCUAAUACCGGAUGAUAUUUUGAACCGCAUGGUUCAAAAGUGAAAGACGGUCUUGCUGUCACUUAUAGAUGGAUCCGCGCUGCAUUAGCUAGUUGGUAAGGUAACGGCUUACCAAGGCAACGAUGCAUAGCCGACCUGAGAGGGUGAUCGGCCACACUGGAACUGAGACACGGUCCAGACUCCUACGGGAGGCAGCAGUAGGGAAUCUUCCGCAAUGGGCGAAAGCCUGACGGAGCAACGCCGCGUGAGUGAUGAAGGUCUUCGGAUCGUAAAACUCUGUUAUUAGGGAAGAACAUAUGUGUAAGUAACUGUGCACAUCUUGACGGUACCUAAUCAGAAAGCCACGGCUAACUACGUG